CCAUCUAGUCAAGUUUAAUUGCAUGAGUCAAACUUGUGAUUAGAUAGGGAAUUCUAAUCAUUGCCUAUGGUUCCCACAAAGGUAAAAGAUGGGAAGUUUCCCUCAUUAUUUUGCUUAGACAAAGGAUUAAGCUGAAGGGGAACUGAUCUCUGUUGCCUAGAGAUCACUUGUCAUUCCAGGAGAUUUCCAGACACCACCUGGAGGUUGGCAGCCCUAAGAACCACUCAUUUCAUAUAUGUAUUGUUUGGCACCAGGAAUGCUGCAGAGGAAGUGAGAACAUGAACAUUCUCAGCAAGAUAUACUCCAACAGCUUUUUAAAAAAACUUCUUCAUUUACCUGACACAGAUUUCCCAACAUUCUGCAGUUUCCCCACUAGUUUCUGUGCAUCCUUAAUGCUGGUGUCUUUCUGGCUAUACAACAGCAACCGUUUGGCAUCUGAGAACAACCGGUAAACACUAUGGAAACCAGAGAAAUGAUUGGAAAGACAAUAAAGAGAGAGAAAUGUUUUAACCAUA